UACGGAGGGUGCGAGCGUUGCCCGGAUUUAUUGGGCGUAAAGGGCGCGUAGGCGGUCACGCACGUCCGUUGUGAAAUUGCUCGGCUCAACUGGGCGGGGUCAGCGGAUACGGCGUGGCUGGAGCAAGCUAGGGGGCAAUGGAAUUCUCGGUGUAGUGGUGGAAUGCGUAGAUAUCAAGAGGAACACCUGAGGUGAAGACGGGUUGCUGGGCCGACACUGACGCUGAGUGCGCGAAAGCCAGGGGAGCAAACGGG
rnacentral:rRNA from 1 species